GCGGACGGGUGAGUAAUGCCUAGGAAAUUGCCCUGAUGUGGGGGAUAACCAUUGGAAACGAUGGCUAAUACCGCAUGAUGCCUACGGGCCAAAGAGGGGGACCUUCGGGCCUCUCGCGUCAGGAUAUGCCUAGGUGGGAUUAGCUAGUUGGUGAGGUAAGGGCUCACCAAGGCGACGAUCCCUAGCUGGUCUGAGAGGAUGAUCAGCCACACUGGAACUGAGACACGGUCCAGACUCCUACGGGAGGCAGCAGUGGGGAAUAUUGCACAAUGGGCGCAAGCCUGAUGCAGCCAUGCCGCGUGUGUGAAGAAGGCCUUCGGGUUGUAAAGCACUUUCAGUCGUGAGGAAGGUGGUGUAGUUAAUAGCUGCAUUAUUUGACGUUAGCGACAGAAGAAGCACCGGCUAACUCCGUGCCAGCAGCCGCGGUAAUACGGAGGGUGCGAGCGUUAAUCGGAAUUACUGGGCGUAAAGCGCAUGCA
rnacentral:rRNA from 1 species